GGGGGGGGGGGGGGGGGGGGGGGGGGGGGGGGGGGCGGGCGGGGGGGGGGGGCUGGCUCCUGGGGGGAGGGGCGGGCGGGGGAGGGGUGCGUCGGACGCGGCCUGGGAGUGGGGGGUAACGGCCGGGAACGGGCGCUAAUCCCGCGUACGUCCGGAGGGAGCAGGUGGGGGAGCUCCGGCCCCCCCGCUACCCCAUGAGCCUAGGCCGGAUUAGCUAGUUGGUGGGGUACAGGCCUACCAAGGCGACGAUCCGCAACUGGUCUGAGAGGAUGAUCAGUCACACUGGAACUGAGACGCGGUCCAGGCUCCUACGGGAGGCAGCAGUGGGGAAUAUUGGACAAUGGGCGAAAGCCUGAUCCAGCCAUGCCGCGUGUGUGAAGAAGGUCUUCGGAUUGUAAAGCACUUUAAGUUGGGAGGAAGGGCAGUAAGUUAAUACCUUGCUGUUUUGACGUUACCAACAGAAUAAGCACCGGCUAACUUCGUG
rnacentral:rRNA from 1 species